rnacentral:lncRNA from 1 species
UUUAUUUUGUCUUAAAGACGUUUUUAUAUAAAAUCCAUUUCUACACAACUUAAAACCUAAUACGUGUUUACUUUUAGGCUGUUAUUUAACAAAUUCAUAUAUUGUGAUUUUAGUAUAAUUGCUCGCUUUAUAUUUCAUUUUAAAAUGCAAGCAUUUAUCCCAAAUGGGGUUGUACUUAAAAAAAAUGACAUUUUAAAAUUGUUCACUUCAAUAUCAAUUUUGUUUAUAUCAAGAUCUCGAGAAAAACAAUACAGACAAUCAAUUCUGUUGAAAUACCACGUAUGAAAAAAACUACAAUAUUGUAGUGUUUUGUUGGUUCUUAUUUAGGACUGAAAACUUGUGUUGCGUACAUUUUAGUCCUCCAUAUCACUCCUAAAACUGACUAAGUUUGUUGCUUCAUCAAGUAACUCAACUUUAUAAAUUAUUUUUUUAUCCUUUUUACGACGGACAGUCUGAAGGACCUGUCCCAAAGACUGAUAAGAACGGUCUGAAGACUGGGUUGGACCGAAUAAAUAAGGAAUUACACAGCACUAGUAUGUGGGGUUGUAAAUCGUAAGCAUGUUCUGUAUCUAAAAAUAAAUGGAACUAAUAUGGUAACCCUGACAAUUUGAAGAAUAUUUUAAGGAGAGUAGUUUAGCUGUCAUAAUAUUUAUUGGAUUUGCUGCAAGCAGACAUUAGAGGAAGGAAAUAAACACAAAUCUCAUGUGGGGUUGAAAAUCAAUCAAUCAAAGACUACAAUUCUCCCGAUUGGCUUAUGGCAUUCGGGAAAAGUUUUGAAAAUUACAAAUUCUUCUAUCAAAGAAAUGAUUUAUUUUUUAGGGCAUUAAAUGAGUGGGCUUUGGUCCCAGAGAUUUAAAUUGACUUGGAAUAAAAACGAAUGUCAAUAAUUUUAUGAAAGGCUGGUGCUAUUUAAACUUUUUUUAAAGUUACCUUUAUAAAACUAUUGUUACUCAUAAUGUUUUGUAUAAGUCUAUCUCUUUAUCAAAAUUGAAGGAGGGUGCCAUAUUUCAGGAAAAUAUAUGGAUGGGGAUUCUUUUUUAUCGGAAUUAAUUUUCAGCAUUAAAGAGACCAAGAAAUUGAUUGUUUGGCGGGCUCAAAUCUUUUGUGAGCAUUUAUUCUAAAAAUAAAAAUUAUUUAUUUUAAGCUUUUGGUUGAUAUAAAGAAGAAUCCCAACAUGGAGUGGAGACCUGUUAUAUCAUCAAGUCCAUACUUUGAAUAUAUUAUACUUGGAAUAGAUCUCAUAAAUGGAUAUAUAUUGCUUGUUGCAACACAAAAAGUCCUUUUGAAAGAGACUCCCACUUACAAUUAUAGAACGACCAUUAUUCGUAUGAAUUUUGGAAGUAAACCUUUUUUGAAGAAUUUACGAGACCUUGUGUCUUUGGAAUGGGAGGCACUCAUAAAAAAUUAGCUAACAAAACAUGAUAUUUUAAUUCACACUUUUUUUUAACGUGAAGUUUAUUUUUGCUUCCAUUAGACAUGAUAAGCUACACUACCUAUGUGCCUAUUCCUUGGCAUUUGAAAAUGAAUUUUUGGAAAAAGAAAAAUGAAAAAGACUCUGCACUGUCAAGGUGUGAUUCAUGGAUUAGGGAAUUCAGUCUAUCUAGUUAUUGAAUGUACAUACUUCCCGAAUAGCAAUGCAUAAGAAAAAUUCACUGCUCAAUUUCAAAUAUCCACGGGAAUAAUGUUAUUCGGCACUCCAUUUAAAGAUUGUUGUAAAUUAUUCAAUAACAUUAGACAAGCUUUUUUGGAAUGUCCUCACUUACAUAUUCUGAGAUAGUUUAUGAUUUUAAACCUGAAGAAUCUGAAGGACAAUAACGUUGAUAUGAUUAUGGCGAUAAUUCUGUUCAGAGUUACCUUGCAAAUAAUAUAACUAUAGGAGGAAGAUAUUUGUGCAAUUUUAAUUGCGGAGAUUGCAAGAAACAGAUCGUCCGAAAUGAAGAUUCCAAAGAUGAUCGAAGGUGCUUAGGACUAGGCCUCUGAUAUUGUAAAAUAUCAUCCAUCAAACGGAUCUAUACAUUUUUGGACUUUGCAGAAUAUACUCAAACUUUUUAGAAAGAACGAGAAGAAACGAGCAAAUUGUUAAAUUAAAAGCAAAUUUGCACUAGAUAUUACAUAUUUAUAUUUUAAUGAUUUUAGAUGCUAAAUUUUUUAAUUUUGAAUAUAUGCAUAUAUUGUGUUUAUAAUUCUUAAUUUUGUGAAGAAAUAUAAUUAAACACUUUAAAUAAUGUUUAAAUAUAUUUCUUCAAAUUCAUCUUCAUUGGAAAAUUU